UAUGGGGCACUUUUAAAUGGACGGAUCAAGCUGGCAGUGCCUGGAUUCACUCGCCAAUCCUAGUAUCACAAAAGAUGAGACAAGCAGACACCACGUGAUGCUGAUGCGACGCAGUCGGAGGUUCACAGCACCAGCUAUAGAGUAUCCUUGUCAAAAAAUGGACCCUGAGAUAGUUAUGGACUUUGGGAAGGCAUGUUCAUUACCACUAGUGCCACCUAGGAAGCUCUGUGUUGCCUGCUGCCGCUGCUGCUAAGUCGCUUCAGUCGUGUCCGUCUCUGUGCGACCCCAUAGACGGCAGCCCAACAGGCUCCCCCGCCCCUGGGAUUCUCCAGGCAAGAACACUGGAGUGGGUUGCCAUUUCCUUCUCCAAUGCAUGAAAGUGAAAAGGGAAAGUGAAGUCGCUCAGUCGUGUCUGACUCAACGACCCCAUGGACUGCAGCCCACCAGGCUCCUCCAUCCAUGGGAUUUUCCAGACUCAUAGAAUGUUAUCCAGGAUGGGAGGGAGGAGACCAGAGAAAGAGAUACACAAGGAGAAGCAUGCUCCUCAGGCUCCAUGUGCACUCGAACCAUGUGGGCAUCCUGGCUUCCCUGGCGGCUCAGUCGGUAACGAAUCCACCUGCAAGAUGCUUCCCUGGUCAUUCAGCAGUGAAGAAUCUGCCUGCCAAGGAAGAGACGUGGGUUUGUUCCCUGGGUCAGGAAUUUUUCCUGGAGAAGGAAACGGACAAGCCACACCAGUAUUCUUGCCUGAGAAAUCCCAUAGUCAGAGGACCUGCUGGGCUGUAGUCCAUGGGGUUUCCAAGAGUCGAACACGAUUGGGUGACUGAGCACUCUGCACGAGGCUGCUGCUUUCAUUGGCAGCAAGGCCACUGAAGCCAGGCAGCCCGGGAUUCGAACACUGAUCUGCAGUUUGACUCCUGUUUGAAGCCUGUUUGACUCCAGGCUUUGAUGCUGAAUUUCCAUAUCUGUACGAGGUUAUAAAAGUUUGCUGAAUGGCUACGUGUGUGGAGAUGGCAGUAAAGAUAUUUCCAGAAGUCCUCUUAGGGAGGAGUUUUAACAUUUUCUGCUUUGAAAAUCCCACUAGGGUUAGGGGCAGGAGUAGGCCUCUAAAGAGCCUCCCUGCGUAAUACUAGACUGCUGUGAACUAGAGUUGCAGGGAGCUUCAUCUUUUAAACAGUCGGGCAUUUUACUUUGCAGAGCACAGAAAUGAGCAGGAUACCGAGCUGCUUCGUAUGGACAAGACUGGUGGUUAAUUUCUCAACAACAACUCUCCCUCCCCUUUGUCCUUACUGCCAGAACCGUCUUUCCAACUCUAGAGGCUAAAAACACCAGUAUUAGUUACUACAAGCCUGUGACUCAACCCUGGUGGAUGAGUUUAAAGAUAAAUCUUCUGAGAUAUUUCUGGGAAACGUUUUCUCUUCUGAUUUAGGGUGGGAGGCAGGGGAUGUGGUGAGAAAUGCCACUUUUUCUGCGUGUACGUGUAGUUAUGUGCAGGUAGAAUUCCUCCAGCCAUGGCAGCCAUCUUGUGACCACGGGCAACAACUCUGAGGAUGAAAACUUACAUUCUGUGAAUGGCAAAGGAAAACGGCAGGAAGCCCCUGGGCUGGUGCUUGAUGACAUCGUUGUGCUUCUGAAUUAACCAAAGCUAGAAAUG
ensembl:lncRNA